rnacentral:rRNA from 1 species
CGUCGCACCUACCGAUUGAAUGGUCCGGUGAAGCCUCGGGAUUGUGGUUUGGUUCCUUUAUUGGGAUUGUACCGUGAGAACUUGUCUAAACCUUAUCAUUUAGAGGAAGGUGAAGUCGUAACAAGGUUUCCGUAGGUGAACCUGCGGAAGGAUCAUU